UGGUAUCCUUAGGGAAGGGAACCCGGUGAACUGAAACAUCUAAGUAGCCGGAGGAAGAGAAAUCAAACGAGAUGCCCACAGUAGCGGCGAGCGAAGAGGGCAGAGCCUAAACCGGGAAGCUUCGGCUUUCCGGGGUUACGGACUCACAUAAUUCAAGUUUAUCCUAGCCGAAUUACCUGGAAAGGUAAGCCACAGAGCAUAAAAGCUGCGUAGGUUAAAGGACGAGCGAGAAGGUGAGUAUCCAGAGUACCACGAAGCACGAGGAAUUUUGUGGGAAGUCGGGGGGACCACCCUCCAAGGCUAAAUACUACUUAGUGACCGAUAGCGCAUAGUACCGUGAGGGAAAGGUGAAAAGAACCGCGGGAGCGGAGUGAAAGAGAACCUGAAACCGUAUGUCUACAAGCAGUCGGAGCGCAAGCGACGGCGUGCCUAUUGAAGAAUGAGCCAACGAGUUGCGGGCACUAGCGAGGUUAAGCAGGAAAUGCGGAGCCGUAGGGAAACCGAGUCUGAAAAGGGCGAUGAGUUAGUGUUCGCAGACCCGAAACUGUAGUGAUCUACCCAUGAUCAGGUUGAAGCACAGGUAAAAUUGUGUGGAGGACCGAACCGGUGAGUGUUGAAAAACUUUCGGAUGAAUCGUGGGUAGCGGUGAAAUUCCAAUCGAACGCAGAGAUAGCUGGUUCUCCUCGAAAUAGCUUUAGGGCUAGCCUCAAGCAGUAAGCAUAGGCGGUAGAGCACUGAUCGGGAUAGGGACUGUAAUGGUUACCGAACCCUGUCAAACUACGAAUGGUUAUGCUGCAGAGCUUGGGAGUCAGACUACGAGAGAUAAGUCCCGUUGUCAAAAGGGAAACAGCCCAGACCAUCAGCUAAGGUCCCCAAUGCCAUACUAAGUGGAAAAGGAUGUGGGGUCUCAUAAACAACCAGGAUGUUGGCUCAGAAGCAGCCACCAUUUAAAGAGUGCGUAAUAGCUCACUGGUCGAGAGGCCCUGCGCCGAAGAUUCCCGGGGCUAAAGUAUGGAACCGAAGCUAUGGAUGCAAGCUUAGGCUUGCGUGGUAGAGGAGCGUUCCCAUCGGGUUGAAGUCGUACUGUAAGGUACGGUGGACUGGUGGGAAGUGAGAAUGUUGGCAUGAGUAGCGAAAAGAAAGGUGAGAAUCCUUUCCACCGAAAGCAUAAGGAUUCCUGAGCAACGAUCGUCGUCUCAGGGUAAGUCGGGACCUAAUCCGAGGCAGAGAGCGUAGGAGAUGGACAACUGGUUGAUAUUCCAGUACCGGUAGUAAUUGUUUGAGCAAUGGAGUGACACAGAAGGGCAGGCAAGCAUGCGAAUGGAAGAGCAUGUGUAAGCGUGUAGGGUGGUGCAUAGGCAAAUCCGUGCACUGAAAGCCUGAGGCGUGAUGCGGAGUGAGCAGAGAUGCGAGCGAAGUUGUUGACCCCACACUGUCGAGAAAAGCUUCUAGUGAGAGAGCUACCGCCCGUACCGUAAACCGACACAGGUAUGCGGGGAGAGAAUCCUAAGGUGCGCGGGAGAACCCUCGUUAAGGAACUCGGCAAAAUGUACCCGUAACUUCGGGAUAAGGGUAGCCACUGUUGUGAAGUCCCAUGCGGAUGGAGCAUAGAGUGGUCGCAGAGAAGAGGCCCAAGCGACUGUUUACCAUAAACACAGGUGCCUGCUAAAGCGAAAGCUGACGUAUAGGUGCUGACACCUGCCCAGUGCCGGAAGGUUAAGGAAGGAUGUUCGGAUUAGUCCAAAGCAUUCGACUGAAGCCCCGGUGAACGGCGGCCGUAACUAUAACGGUCCUAAGGUAGCGAAAUUCCUUGUCGGGUAAGUUCCGACCCGCACGAAAGGUGU
rnacentral:rRNA from 1 species